GGCAGGGCUAAAAUUCAAUAAAAAUCUGCGGAAAUUCCACAGGGGAGGCUAAAAAUUUGCUUAAAAUAUGUGGAAAUUCCAGGGGAGGGGGGACCAAAAAAUGGAUGUCCUCAAUAGGGGGGUGCGGAUUAAUAAUGCGAUCAGCCAUUUUGGAACUCAGAUCUAGACCUAGUUCCUUCAAUAUAUAUCCUUCAAUAUGCCAUUUUGUUUAGUCAGUGCUUCCUCAUCCAAAGAUAAAUUUCCCUAAUAUUGCCUCAAAUUUCAAUUUUCCACAAACUUUUUCCUCUAAGUGGAAACACUUACAAGCAUGAUCCAAUAAAAAAGUUUAGGGUUGGGAUUUCGACGUCCAAAAGCUAGGUACUGUAGGGUCAGGAAACCGGAAACCCACAUAUUUUUUUUUUCCUGAAUAAACAUAAAUAUGUGUAGCCGCUGCUUUAGAAGCAUUUGGCAAUAUUUUAUCGGGGAGUUUUGUUGAAAUUUAUGUCUCGCCCAAGUUCACCCGGUGUUAUAGCUGCCUACCUUUGUGUACUUUGUAAAGGGUAAUAUUAGAUGAUGGAUAAUAUAGGCCGGGUUCAGCGAAAUGGUCUGAAAAUCAACCAGAGUGAAGUGAAUGACACAGUAAACAAGUAAGUCCGCCAAUAUUUUGAAUCAGAGACAAAACAGCACAAAAGACACAAAACAGCACACACAUUAUAUGCGUGCACCAAAUAUACAAUAUUUCACAGCAUGGUCUACUUUCCAGACCCCGUUGAAGAUAUAAGAAAUCCAUUAAAUAAAUAAUGCUUAUAAGUAAGCUACUAAUGAGAGAUCCCAGACGCAUGUAGAGGU